rnacentral:rRNA from 1 species
GACGAACGCUGGCGGCGUGCUUAACACAUGCAAGUCGAGCGGAAAGGCCCUUUCGGGGGUACUCGAGCGGCGAACGGGUGAGUAACACGUGAGUAAUCUGCCCUUGGCUUUGGGAUAACUACCGGAAACGGUGGCUAAUACCGGAUACGACCACUCUUGCAUGAGGUGGUGGUGGAAAGUUUUUCGGCCAGGGAUGUGCUCGCGGCCUAUCAGCUUGUUGGUGGGGUAAUGGCCUACCAAGGCUUCGACGGGUAGCCGGCCUGAGAGGGUGACCGGCCACACUGGGACUGAGACACGGCCCGGACUCCUACGGGAGGCAGCAGUGGGGAAUAUUGGACAAUGGGCGGAAGCCUGAUCCAGCAACGCCGCGUGAGGGAUGACGGCC